AAUCUCUUGAUUUUGAAUCUUUUUUGUGAGUUGUGUACUAGGUUUUGAAGUUGGAGCAAAUGCUCUAGUAGCUGGAUCAGCUGUAUUUGGAGCUAAAGACUAUGCAGAAGCUAUAAAAGGAAUCAAGACCAGCAAGAAACCAGAAGCUGUGGCUGUGUAAUGUUGAAGCAACUAGCUAAAAAAUACUCUGUUAUAAUCUUAGGAUAAACUAAAAGGGUCCAGAUGUUGAUGUUUUUGCCAUUCAACAGAGUUACUCUACAGUUUCAAAAUAGUUCAUAUACUACUUGUGUACCAUUGUCUUGUAGAUUGGGGAUCUGCAGAUUCCAUACAUUGUGCAAUGAAACACUGUAAUAGUUAAUAAAUUGGUGCAUUAUGUA